rnacentral:rRNA from 1 species
CGGUUGAUCCUGCCGGAGGUUACUGCUAUCGGUGUUCGCCUAAGCCAUGCGAGUCAUAUGUUCUUCGUGAACAUGGCGUACUGCUCAAUAACACGUGGAUAACCUGCCCUUGGGACCGGCAUAACCCCGGGAAACUGGGGAUAAUUCCGGAUACCGCAUAUAUGCUGGAAUGCUUUAUGCGUAAAAUGGAUUCGUCUGCCCAAGGAUGGGUCUGCGGCCUAUCAGGUAGUAGUGGGUGUAAUGUACCUACUAGCCAACGACGGGUACGGGUUGUGAGAGCAAGAGCCCGGAGAUGGAUUCUGAGACAUGAAUCCAGGCCCUACGGGGCGCAGCAGGCGCGAAAACUUUACAAUGCGGGAAACCGUGAUAAGGGGACACCGAGUGCCAGCAACAUUUGUUGGCUGUCCAGGUGUGUAAACUACACCUGUUAGCAAGGGCCGGGCAAGACCGGUGCCAGCCGCCGCGGUAACACCGGCGGCCCGAGUGGUGAUCGUGAUUAUUGGGUCUAAAGGGUCCGUAGCCGGUUUGGUCAGUCCUCCGGGAAAUCUGACGGCUUAACCGUUAGGCUUUCGGGGGAUACUGCCAGGCUUGGAACCGGGAGAGGUAAGAGGUACUACAGGGGUAGGAGUGAAAUCUUGUAAUCCCUGUGGGACCACCUGUGGCGAAGGCGUCUUACCAGAACGGGUUCGACGGUGAGGGACGAAAGCUGGGGGCACGAACCGGAUUAGAUACCCGGGUAGUCCCAGCCGUAAACGAUGCUCGCUAGGUGUCAGGCAUGGCGCGACCGUGUCUGGUGCCGCAGGGAAGCCGUGAAGCGAGCCACCUGGGAAGUACGGCCGCAAGGCUGAAACUUAAAGGAAUUGGCGGGGGAGCAC